UCUCUUCACAUGUUUGAGCUGAAAUCUUCUACCUUGGUGUGACAGACUGUGCGGUACUUUAAAACUUGUGAAGACUGCAAUAAAAAAGGGAUUCCUCUCACCCUGUUUGGAUGAUGGUGGUCUUUCUCUACCUAAAUAUGUCUGUGUGAUGGAGGAGCAGAGCUGCAGUUAACAGUGAGACCUGUGAAAGGACCCUUUGACAACCUUCCAUAUGAACUGGUAAUCAUUAUUAGCAUUAUUGGCUAAAGCUAAUCUCACUACAUUAGUUUUAGUGCCUAAUGACUGGGAGAGAAUAUUGUGUGGUGAGACAUGCUGUUGGUUUUGGGUUUUCUUUGUCAUUUAUAUAUAGAUAAUAUACAUUAGAAACAUUAAUGUAAGAAUUACAGUUCAUAUUGUCUGUAUACUGGAUGAGUUCAUUUCAUGACCGACCACAUGGACUGGUCAACUUUAUUAGCAUUACUACUAUUAUCAGCAUAAUGCCGAUAGAAGAUCAAUGUGCAUGAUUAUAUGUAUGUGUAUUUGAAUGUGCAUUGUUAUAAGAGUGCACCAAUACUAAUAAUAACAGUACAAAUGCUGUCAAUAGUAAUAAUAA